AACGAACGCUGGCGGCAUGCCUAACACAUGCGAGUCGAACGAGACCUUCGGGUCUAGUGGCGCACGGGUGCGUAACGCGUGGGAACCUGCCCUUAGGUUCGGAAUAACUCCCCGAAAGGGGUGCUAAUACCGGAUAAUGUCUUCGGACCAAAGAUUUAUCGCCUUUGGAUGGGCCCGAGUUGGAUUAGCUAGUUGGUAGGGUAAAAGCCUACCAAGGCGACGAUCCAUAGCUGGUCUGAGAGGAUGAUCAGCCACACUGGGACUGAGACACGGCCCAGACUCCUACGGGAGGCAGCAGUGGGGAAUAUUGGACAAUGGGCGAAAGCCUGAUCCAGCAAUGCCGCGUGAGUGAUGAAGGCCUUAGGGUUGUAAAGCUCUUUUACCCGGGAUGAUAAUGACAGUACCGGGAGAAUAAGCUCCGGCUAACUCCGUG
rnacentral:rRNA from 1 species